rnacentral:rRNA from 1 species
AUUGAACGCUGGCGGCAUGCUUUACACAUGCAAGUCGAACGGUAACAGGGUGCUUGCACCGCUGACGAGUGGCGAACGGGUGAGUAAUGCGUCGGAACGUGCCGAGUAGUGGGGGAUAACGCAGCGAAAGUUGUGCUAAUACCGCAUACGUACCGAGGUAGAAAGUGGGGGACCUUCGGGCCUCACGCUAUUCGAGCGGCCGACGUCUGAUUAGCUAGUAGGUGAGGUAAAGGCUCACCUAGGCGACGAUCAGUAGCGGGUCUGAGAGGAUGAUCCGCCACACUGGGACUGAGACACGGCCCAGACUCCUACGGGAGGCAGCAGUGGGGAAUUUUGGACAAUGGGCGAAAGCCUGAUCCAGCCAUGCCGCGUGCCUGAAGAAGGCCUUCGGGUUGUAAAGGACUUCUGUCGGGGAGGAAAUCCCCAGCGUUAAUACCGCUGGGGGAUGACAGUACCUGAAGAAUAAGCACCGGCUAACUACGUGCCAGCCGCCGCCGUAAUAC